rnacentral:rRNA from 1 species
UGUACCUACGGGAGGCAGCAGUGGGGAAUAUUGGGCAAUGGAGGAAACUCUGACCCAGCAACGCCGCGUGAAUGAUGAAGGUCUUCGGACUGUAAAGUUCUUUUCUAAGGGAAGAAGAAAGUGACGGUACCUUAGGAAUAAGCCUCGGCUAACUACGUGCCAGCAGCCGCGGUAAUACGUAGGAGGCAAGCGUUAUCCGGAUUUACUGGGUGUAAAGGGCGUGUAGCCGGGCCGGCAAGUCAGAUGUGAAAUCCCAAGGCUCAACCUUGGAACUGCAUUUGAAACUGUUGGUCUUGAGUAUCGGA